rnacentral:misc_RNA from 1 species
GAUGAAGAACGUAGCGAAAUGCGAUACGUAGUGUGAAUUGCAGAAUUCAGUGAAUCAUCGAAUCUUUGAACGCACAUUGCACCUCUCGGUAUUCCGGGAGGUAUGCCUGUUCGAGCGUCAUUUGUACCCUCAAGCUCUGCUUGGUGUUGGGUGUUUGUUCCGCCUCUGUGUGUGAACUCGCCUCAAAACAAUUGGCAGCCGGCGUAUUGAUUUCGGAGCGCAGUACAUCUCGCGCUUUGCACUCAUAACGACGACGUCCAAAAGUACAUUUUUACACUCUUGACCUCGGAUCAGGUAGGGAUACCCGCUGAACUUAAGCAUAUCAAUAAGCGGAGGA